rnacentral:rRNA from 1 species
UACGGAGGGUGCGAGCGUUGUCCGGAAUCACUGGGCGUAAAGGGCGCGUAGGCGGCCUGAUAAGUAGGGGGUGAAAUCCUGCGGCUUAACCGCAGGGCUGCCUUCUAAACUGUCAGGCUUGAGCACAGUAGAGGCAGGUGGAAUUCCCGGUGUAGCGGUGGAAUGCGUAGAGAUCGGGAAGAACACCAGUGGCGAAAGCGCUCUGCUGGACUGCAACUGACACUGAGGGACGAAAGCUAGGGGAGCGAAAGGG